AAGUGCUGCGCUGGGCGCCGCGGGAUGCCGAGCUGAUCGAGCCCUGGAGGCCCAGCCUGGGCGAGCUGCUGGCCAGGCCCGAGGCUCUGACGCCCAGCAAUCUGUUCCUGCUUGCAGUCCUCGGGGCCCUCGCAUCAGCGAGUGCGACAGUGUUGGCGUGGAUGUUCUUUCGAUGGUACUGCAGUGGCAACUAACAAAGAUGGAGUCUCAUUCUGUCACCCAGGCUGGAGUGCAGUGGCACGAUCUCAGCUCACUGAAACCUCUGCCUCCCAGGUUCAAGCGAUUGUCCUGCCUCAGCCUCCUGAGUAGCUGGGAUUACAGGCACAUGCCACCAUGCCUGGCUAAUUUUUUUUGUAUUUUUAGUAGAGAUGGGGUUUCACCAUGUUGGCCACGCUGGUCUCGAACUCGUGACCUCAAGUGGUCUCCCUGCCUCGGCCUCCCAAAGUGCUGGGAUUACAGGUGUGAGCCACCGCGCUCAGCCAAAUUGUACACUUUGAGUGAGUGAACUCUGUGCGAGAUAAAUUGGAGACAAAUAUGGACAACUCUCCCAAGGA
rnacentral:lncRNA from 10 species